rnacentral:rRNA from 1 species
AUUGAACGCUGGCGGCAUGCCUUACACAUGCAAGUCGAACGGCAGCAUGGGUGCUUGCACCUGAUGGCGAGUGGCGAACGGGUGAGUAAUACAUCGGAACGUACCCGGAAGUGGGGGAUAACGUAGCGAAAGUUACGCUAAUACCGCAUAUUCUGUGAGCAGGAAAGAGGGGGAUCGCAAGACCUCUUGCUUUCGGAGCGGCCGAUGUCGGAUUAGCUAGUUGGUGAGGUAAAGGCUCACCAAGGCGACGAUCCGUAGCGGGUCUGAGAGGAUGAUCCGCCACACUGGGACUGAGACACGGCCCAGACUCCGACGGGAGGCAGCAGUGGGGAAUUUUGGACAAUGGGCGCAAGCCUGAUCCAGCCAUGCCGCGUGAGUGAAGAAGGCCUUCGGGUUGUAAAGCUCUUUCGGCGGGGAAGAAAUGGUUUCGGUUAAUACCUGGAGCUGAUGACGGUACCCGCAUAAGAAGCACCGGCUAACUACGUGCCAGCAGCCGCAGUAAUAC